rnacentral:rRNA from 1 species
UAUUGGCCAAUGGGCGAAAGCCUGAUCCAGCAAUGCCGCGUGUGUGAAGAAGGUCUUCGGAUUGUAAAGCACUUUAGACGGGGACGAUGAUGACGGUACCCGUAGAAGAAGCCCCGGCUAACUUCGUGCCAGCAGCCGCGGUAAUACGAAGGGGGCUAGCGUUGCUCGGAAUGACUGGGCGUAAAGGGCGCGUAGGCGGCGGUGUAAGUCAGACGUGAAAUUCCUGGGCUCAACCUGGGGACUGCGUUUGAGAUUGCAUUGCUAGAGGAUGGAAGAGGCUCGUGGAAUUCCCAGUGUAGCAGGUGAAAUUCGUAGAUAUUGGGAAGAACACCGGUGGCGAAGGCGGCGACCUGGUCCGUUACUGACGCUCAGGCACGAUA